ensembl:snRNA U4 U4 spliceosomal RNA
AGCUUUACGCAGUGGCAGUAUCGUAGCUAAUGAGGUUUAUCCGAGGCGCGAUUAUUGCUAAUUGAAAUUAAGAGACAGAAAGUAGAGCACUAUUUGCCAAGAGUGAAAAGAGGAGGAAAUGGGGAGUUAUUGUUUAAUG